UCUGAGACUCGGGCCAGAAGUGGCUCUGUCAGGGACCUACCUCAGCUUCUGGUAAGUGAGUCCCCAGAGAACUUGGCUCUGUAAGGGGUUUAGCUGAGCAGCCCUUUGAUCAGGUAAAUAGGCAGGUGACUCAUGGAUCCAGUCAGCAGUUUCAGUGGAAGCAAGAUUGGAAAUGCAG
rnacentral:sRNA from 1 species